CCCCUGCUCUGGCCCGCCGCGCCCGCGCCGCGGACACCAGCUCGCCUCUCUCUUGCCGGACGACCCCCGCGGAAGCCGGUCUGGCCCCCGCCUCGCCGUGCGCGCGAAGUUUAGGGGCCACCGGUGGCUCCUGUCUAGAGGCUCAGACUCCUCGGUGUUUCCCGCUGCUCGGUGAUAGUGACCUCUGCCCCGGGGCCCAAGAGCCGCGUGGGCCAACGCGCCCGGGCCGGGCCGGUGAAGAUGACCCUGCAGUGUGCAGGCAGCAGGACCGCUGGACCGCCAGAGGGAUAAGAGCCACCCCAGGAAUGACUGGCCUGGUGGGCUUGUGGCUUAGUGUAAACUGGAAACUCAGAUAAGUGAAAUAAGUAUCCAAAUAAUUUAGGGGAACAACUAUGCUUCAUUUAGCAUUAUUUGAACAGUUUUCUACUUUUCUCAUCAGCAGAGUUUGGGCCUUUGUGUUUAUAGAUAGGAGAGAGCUUUCACAAAUUGGCAGAUCCUGGCAGAAAUUUCCUUUCCACGCAUCUUUUUAGAUUUACUAACUAUAUAUAUAUCUUAUUGAUUGAUUCUUUGCAUUACCAUUAAUCUCCAGGUUAGCUGAGGGCACACUUUACAGCUUCUUAUUACUCUUUCUUAUUCUUUAAUUAUAGAAGUUGCAUUUUAGACCCAUAUUUAUCUCUUUUUUUCCAGAUAGGAUAAAGAGAGGUACAGAAGGUGAAUUACAUGAUUCAAUGGGUGUGGAGUAAAGUGGUCAAGAUUUUGAAGUAGAGUGGGUUUUUUUUUUGGUCCCACAACACUGCUGUAAUUUAAGUUUUAUCAGAUAUCACUUGAAGAUAGACUCAAACAACUAUUUGAAGAUUCCUAUGUACAUAACACGCUUCAGAUUUUGAGGCAAUGAUCUAUACUGCAGACCAUAUGAUUCCAGAGAAUUUGCCACAAAUCUAUGAACAAAUAAACUUCCAAAGCACAUUUUCCUUCAUUCUACUACGGAUUUAUCUACUUAAGUGAGUCAGACAUCAUGAAUUGUUGCUAUAGUUUCCAGCUAUGUUGAUACACCAACUGCAGCAUCCCACAACUUCGAAAAAAAGAAAACCAUUUUUAUGGGAAAGUAGUUUAAGACAUAAUCCUAGCCAUGAACUGGUCCAGAAAAUAAUUAACAAGAAAAGCCUGCUAUAAAAACAGAUGAGAUGCCCAGUAUGAGACAUGGAACUCUAUAAAGGAUCGGGAAAGUUUCUGUGGAACAUCCAUCAUUGUACCAGAACUUGAAGGAGCUCUUUAUUUGAAAGAAGAUGGCAAGAAAUCCUGGAAAAGGCGCUACUUUCUUUUACGGGCUUCUGGAAUUUAUUAUGUACCCAAAGGAAAGACAAAGAGAUCUACAAGGUGCUUUUAAUGCAAUCAUAUGCGAAUAUAAAUAUUACUGAUUCAACAAACAUUUCCUCUGCAAAGCACUGUGUUAAGACAGAGGGAAGGUUCAAGAUAAAGAAACAGAAGUUCAAGGAGGUGAAAUAACCAUACCCAGGACACACAGCAGGAUACUGGCAGAGCUGAGUCCAUUUGAUUUGAAGCCCAUGAUCUUUCUAGAGCACCACAGAGCCUCCAAUGUCAGUGGGUGAUGCUGGGAGAAAGGCAUCACCCAGAAGAGUUUACAAACUCAAAUGCCUAAAGUACCUGCAGGGCAUCACAGAUGCUGAGUGUCAGAAGAGGUGAAACUGAGGUGAUAAAUGGCAACUGACAAACAGUCUUCCUGAGCAGCAAGAGGUACACGCCCUCUCUAAAGAGAACAGCUGACAGCUGCUACCAGCUGAUUGUUGCUAUGUGAGACUAUAGGCCCAAUGUUGCCACAUCUAUUAAUUUUUCAAUAAAAGCUAACAA